UGCCGCGUGCAGGAAGAAGGCCUUCUGGGUUGUAAACUGCUUUUAUCUGGGAAGAAAACGCCCCUGCGGGGGUAACUGACGGUACCAGAUGAAUAAGCACCGGCUAACUCCGUGCCAGCAGCCGCGGUAAUACGGAGGGUGCAAGCGUUGUCCGGAUUUAUUGGGUUUAAAGGGUGCGUAGGCGGCCCGUUAAGUCAGCGGUGAAAUCCCACGGCUCAACCGUGGAACUGCCGUUGAUACUGGCGGGCUUGAGUUUGGUCGAGGCGGGCGGAACUGGUGGUGUAGCGGUGAAAUGCAUAGAUACCACCAAGAACCCCGAUUGCGUAGGCAGCUCGCUGGGCCAAAACUGACGCUGAGGCACGAAAGCGUGGGGAGCGAACAGGAUUAGAUACCCUGGUAGUCCACGCCGUAAACGAUGAUAACUCGAUGUUGGCGAUACACAGUCAGCGUCCAAGCGAAAGCGUUAAGUUAUCCACCUGGGGAGUACGCUCGCAAGAGUGAAACUCAAAG
rnacentral:rRNA from 1 species